rnacentral:rRNA from 1 species
GACAGAGGGUGCAAACGUUGCUCGGAAUUACUGGGCGUAAAGCGCGUGUAGGCGGUUCCGCGAGUCGAGUGUGAAAGCCCAGGGCUCAACCCUGGAAGCGCAUUUGAUACUACGGAGCUUGAGGCUUGUAGAGGAGAGCGGAAUUCCCGGUGUAGAGGUGAAAUUCGUAGAUAUCGGGAGGAACACCAGUGGCGAAGGCGGCUCUCUGGACAAGUACUGACGCUGAGACGCGAAAGCGUGGGUAGCAAACAGG